UACGUAGGGUGCAAGCGUUAAUCGGAAUUACUGGGCGUAAAGCGUGCGCAGGCGGUUUUGUAAGUCUGUCGUGAAAUCCCCGGGCUCAACCUGGGAAUUGCGAUGGAGACUGCAAGGCUAGAAUCUGGCAGAGGGGGGUAGAAUUCCACGUGUAGCAGUGAAAUGCGUAGAGAUGUGGAGGAAUACCGAUGGCGAAGGCAGCCUCCUGGGCCAACACGUGACGCUCAUGCACGAAAGCGUGGGGAGCAAACAGG
rnacentral:rRNA from 1 species